ACUUCCCUCUCACUUCACUCUCUGCGUUCACUCUCUUCCCGUUCGCGUCUUUCUUCUUUCUCCUCACUUCACUCUCUCAUUUCACCGCUUCGUUCACCUCACUUCACUCUCUCAGAACGUUCCCUCACCUCUCCGUUUGCUCACCUCUCCGUUCACUCACCUCUCUGUUCGCUCACCUCUCCGUUCGCUCACCUCUCCGUUCGCUCACCUCUCCGUUCGCUCUCCGUUUCUCCUUUCUCCUUUUCUCCUCUUCGUUUCCCCUCUUUUCUUUCACCUCUUUCUCCUUUCUCCUUCCUUCGCCUCCAUUUGCACCUCCAUUUGCGCCUCAGUCCACGAUUGCCGCCGUUCGCAUUUGCUCGAUUGGGUUAUUUGGUUCGAUUGCUCGCAUUUGCGCCUCAGUCCACUCCUUUUCUGUUUCUGGAUAAAACUUGGACAACUUGCAAGUUAAAGCUGCUGCAAACUUUGUCCAGCUUAUUUCAUAUAAUAUCAAGUGAACAUGCUGUUGGCUCAACCCAUUUUCUUCUCUCCCAACUUUCCCACUCUCAUCAAGAAGACAAAUUUGAGAGCUUCACUUCAGCCCCACAACAAUUUUCCUCCUCUUAGAGUUUCACAAAUGCCAAAACCACUUGGUGUGAGAGCAAGACCCAAAACCCUGUUGGCUCCGCUUCAGAAAAAGAGUGGUGUCCAAAUCUGCCAUAGCUUCAAGAAAGAGAGCGAAGUUGGUGGGAAUGACGAAAGAGACUGGACAACCUCCUUUUUGCUCUUUCUCCUGUGGGCAACACUCAUCUACUAUGUCUUCUUUCUCACCCCAAACCAGACCCCGUCAAGGGAUUUAUAUUUCCUGAAAAAGCUCCUGAAUCUGAAAGGGGAUGAUGGUUUCAAAAUGAAUGAAGUGUUAGUAUCAUUGUGGUAUAUAAUGGGCUUGUGGCCAUUGGUAUAUAGCAUGCUCUUGCUUCCUACAGGAAGAAGCUCAAAAAACAGUAUUCCUGUAUGGCCCUUCCUGAUACUUUCAUGUUUUGGAGGUGCAUAUGUACUUCUUCCUUAUUUUGUACUUUGGAAACCGCCAGCACCUCCUGUUGAAGAAACUCAGCUUAAAACAUGGCCCUUGAAUUUUCUGGAAUCAAAAGUAACUGCAUUGAUAUCACUUGUUGCAGGGGUAGCCAUCAUAAUUUAUGCUGGUUUAGCUGGACAAGAUGUGUGGAAAGAAUUUUACCAGUACUUUAGGGAAAGCAAAUUUAUUCAUAUUACCUCCAUUGAUUUUAUUGUACUUUCCACAUUUGCACCAUUCUGGGUAUACAACGACAUGACUGCACGAAAAUGGUUUGACAAAGGUUCUUGGCUUCUUCCCAUAUCAUUGAUACCAUAUUUAGGGCCUGGUUUGUACCUUCUCCUACGACCAUCAUUAUCAGCAGUGUCCAUUUCACAAACUCCUGUUGAACCAGAGUGAAAUUACAUGUGAUGACUGCCAAUAAUACAAGUGCACACUUUCUAUGCAACAAAAAUGGAUCUGGUUUCAAGUUUGGUUCAAGAAGGUUUGCUUAUGGUAAUUAGGAGAGAAUGAACACUAAUGGGAGUGGAUUAAGACAUGUCUACAUGGAAAGCAUAAAGCAUAAAACAUGUGUGAUGUGGAUGAGAGAGGAAAACAUAAAGCAUAACACAUAAAGCAACAUGAGCAUAUGGUCCUCCUUGUACCUUGGACGAAAUUCACACAAAGAGACCACCUAGUCUACUCCAUUUUUGUCAUCUUAUGUAUUAGGUUUAACCUAGUUUCUAGAGGUUAGAGUUUUGUAAUUGUUUAGCUACCUUUUUGCACUUUUGGUUUUUGUUUAGAGGCCCCUAGAACUUUCUAUUUAAGGGGUGCUCUUUGACAUGUACGAUGGUUGAUCAAUUUGAGUAUUUUCUAUAUUGUUUCAACCACAUUUUCGUGAGCUUUUCCUCCAAGGAGUGGAGGUUCUCCUUUGCCUUGUCUUAAGUAAUCAAGUGACGGCACAACAUCACUUAUCUCCAAGGGUUGGUUAGCCUUAUGGCCCCACUAUGAGUGGCAUGCUCCCUUGCUCCAUUACCAUCUUCUUAUGCUUCCAUAUUCUUCUUGUUUUCCUUCAUUUUAA